ensembl:lncRNA
UUUUUUUUUUUUUUUGGAGAAAACUGUGUACGUAAAAUUUUAAAAAUUAAACAUUGAAAGGAUGUGCAAGUCUAAAAGGGCUCAACAGGGUUAGAAUCCUGAUUCGAACAUAUCAACUCACUCUCUCAAGCAUCACUUUGGUCUAAAGGCGAGGAGGAAGGCAGGCAGGAAAGGGAGAAAAAGAGGGAGAUCAUUGAAUUACUCAAUAAAAGAGGCUACUUACCAUCCCAACCCAUUGUAAGACAUACACUUCUGACAUAAGAGAACUCCUUAGAGGUCGAAUAAAGCGUGUAAGCACCUUUGAGUAAUGCACCUGCCCCCGGAGAGGGGGCCCGGAAGCCCAACGAGGGCUUUGCGAACAGACCUUUGCUAAUCUGUUUAUUUCCUUGGAGUCGGGCUGCGAUGGGCUGCGAUUCCCAGGACGAUACAUUUAAUUAGAACAAAACAGAAAAAAACAAAUGUUGUAAAAAGCUCACCAAACUGCUGCACUUGUGUCUCUGAAUGUGGGUGGCAUUUCUUUUAAAAGGCAAAGUAUGGUCUGUGAAGGAGAAAGGGGAAAGGGGAGGUGGGAGUAGGGAGAAGGGGCCGUAGACCCUAGCAGGGGAAGCCCUGGCUGAGACCCCCGGCCAAGGGAGGGUCCUCAGCGGCUCCCCAGCCAGGGCUGCGGCGGGGUAGCCAUCUGUCCAGCGCGUUCUUUUCCCCUCUCCACCCCCACUCCAAGACUCGCUUUCCUGCCGGCUGAAACCCACCGUCCGUGUCCAAAUCUACUCUCUAGCCGCCUCUUCUGCCCCACCAGGAAACAGUGGACGAACCCUGCACCCCAACUCCUUCUGCUCGAGCAGGGGAAGGAAACGGGGCCCCAACCUCGCCCUGAAACGCGCCGGGCUGACCCCAUUAUCACCCGCCAGCCAGAGAAGGGCGUGGGGGGGGUGCGCCGCGUUUCGCACUUAAUAAAGGGAAGGGGGCGCUUCCUUUAACGCCCUGCCAAAGCACAAGGAAAUCUCCUUUUCUCUCUCCCGGAAGAGACGGUGCCCCAUUUUACCCCGACAGAGGGGGGAACCCCACGAGAAAGCGCGGGACCAACUUCCUCUCCCUACAAGGCAGGGAAACCAAACCUUACCCCCACAAAACAAGGCUGCUAGUCCUCCCUCACGUCACCUACCUACGAAAAGCAAGAGAACCCCUGCCCUUUAACAAAAACACGGGUAAGAAUCUUCUCUAAAUAAAUAGGCAGGGGUUUUCAUCAAAAGGGCUGGAGAUGCAUCUCCCCCACUCCCCAAUUCGGCCUUCUAGGGAAUAGCUACAAAACACCUCCCGCCAAAAAAUAAAAGUGCUAUAAAGCACCCACCCAAAUGACCCCCCAUUACAAGGAUGGAGAAGGGACUUGAAUGAACCCCCACUUUCUGCCUCCUAAGCUAAGGUACCUAUCAUCCAAGUAGGGUAGGGUGUGCCUCCCCCAGGAGAAAGGAUACUGCCGGGGGCUGGGAGACCCCCAACCCCAAACCCCUAAGAGCGGGGCUGUUGCUCGAGAUCCCCCCAAAAAGGGUCCGGAGCCCCUCCCCCAU